UGAACGCUGGCGGCGUGCCUAACACAUGCAAGUCGUACGAGAAAUCUUUCGCUUGCGAAAGAGAGUAAAGUGGCGCACGGGUGAGUAACACGUGGGUAAUCUACCUUUGAACUCGGGAUAACGUCGCGAAAGUGAUGCUAAUACCGGAUAAUAUCCAGAGUGCUUCGGCACCUUGGAUCAAAGGGGGCCUCUACAUGUAAGCUUCCUUUCGAAGAUGAGCCCGCGUGCCAUUAGCUUGUUGGUAGGGUAAUGGCCUACCAAGGCUACGAUGGCUAGCUGGUCUGAGAGGAUGAUCAGCCACACUGGAACUGAGACACGGUCCAGACUCCUACGGGAGGCAGCAGUGAGGAAUCUUGCGCAAUGGGGGAAACCCUGACGCAGCAACGCCGCGUGAGUGAAGAAGGCCUUCGGGUCGUAAAGCUCUGUCAAGUGGGAAGAAACUGCCCUAUGAUAAUACCAUGAGGCACUGACGGUACCACUGAAGGAAGCACCGGCUAACUCC
rnacentral:rRNA from 1 species